rnacentral:rRNA from 1 species
UAUUGGUCAAUGGGCGGGAGCCUGAACCAGCCAAGUCGCGUGAGGGAUGACGGCCCUAUGGGUUGUAAACCUCUUUUGCCGGGGAGCAAAGUGCCGCACGUGUGCGGUUUGGAGAGUACCCGGAGAAAAAGCAUCGGCUAACUCCGUGCCAGCAGCCGCGGUAAUACGGAGGAUGCGAGCGUUAUCCGGAUUUAUUGGGUUUAAAGGGUGCGUAGGCGGACGCUUAAGUCAGCGGUAAAAUUGCGGGGCUCAACCUCGUCGAGCCGUUGAAACUGGGUGUCUUGAGUGGGCGAGAAGUACGCGGAAUGCGUGGUGUAGCGGUGAAAUGCAUAGAUAUCACGCAGAACUCCGAUUGCGAAGGCAGCGUACCGGCGCCCAACUGACGCUGAAGCACGAAGGCGUGGGUAUCGAACA